rnacentral:snRNA from 1 species
GAAUGUGAGAGUCAUCUGGCUGACACAUCUGUCACCCCAUUGAUUGUCAGGGCUGAUCUGGCUGGCUAAAUGGGUGUGUCCUUUCUCCAUCACCACUCCAUGUGUGCCCUUCCCAAAGCUGUGUGCUCAGUCAAAGAGGAUGACUUUUCCUAAAAGAAGUGGAUCAUUUCCUUGGUUAAAGGUAUAUGAGUAGCUGCAUUCCCCUGCUAGAACCACCAAACAAGCUCUUCUUAGGCUGUGAUUUUGGGGGGGAAAUAAUAUACUCAUUUAAAAUGUUCUUU